rnacentral:lncRNA from 1 species
GGCAAUUGCCCUGAAACUCAGGCAGGAGGCACCCAUCGCCCUCAGUGCUGCCUGUGGCCAGCCUCAGUCAGUGGAGGGUGGUUGGGACCUCCCUCUGUCUUGUAAGCAGCGGUCACAGGCAAGAAAGUCCAGGACAAAACUGUGUUGUAGCUGUGUUUCUUGUUAAUGUGUCUUUCCAGGUGACAAAUGGGAAACAAUGCACUGAGAAACCUGACCCACAACAGGGGACCAGCUGUUGAACUGCAGAAAGGGAACUGAGAGCAACUGUGUUGCUGGACUGAUGGCUCGAGUAAUGGCCUUCUCGGGAAGCCUUGAAAAGCUCUGUGAGCAAUGACAGCACAGGGGGGAGAGAGCCCUAAAGAAAGGUACGUAGUACAGAAAACCUAAAAGCAAAAAGUGUCACAGCUCUACCUCUUUAUAAUGAAGAA